GAGAAUGUCUACGAAAUCUUUAUCUGAUUCUGCAAAUAAAACCCGGUUCUUUUCCUUGUCAACUGCAAGCUUUAACUUGAUCUGUUUGGGAACCUUCCUUCCCUGACCAAAACGUGGAUAGAAGCUUAGACAAACAAAAAGAUGCCACAACCAGAUCAAGCAAGGAACCACCCGUUUAGAAAGACGCGUAGAUGUGAAGCUCAAUGGCUGCCUAAUAAGUGAUUUAACUGAAACCCAUGAUUGAACUAGAAAAAUCCACACUGGUUUUCGAUGAAUCCAAAAUGUGACUAGGAGAAGCGCCAAGCUUGGGUACUUAGUGACUAUGGAGAAGAGAAGACGGAAAACAGGACCAGAAAACCAAAUUAUGAUCUUAAGCAAACCAUAAACGGUAUUGUGAGCAAUGACAUAUGAGAGGUAUAUCAAAGCUUCAAAGAUGAAGAUCAAAAUCCUCACCAUUCAGAAGUUCCAGAGAACAGCAAGCAGCAGAAACCAAUGAAAGGUUGGUGUACCCAGAAGAAAACACGAAACUGCAGAGAAUUGAUAUGGUUUAGACUUAGUCUAUGGAGCUUUGGGUUGCAUCUCAGAACAAGACCAUGAAGGCUGAUGAUCCUCCCCCUCAACUGGCUUGCCUGAUCAGGGGACUUGGUUGUAGUAGAAUGGUGUAAAUUCAGGGUUCCUGUCCCUGUUCUUCCUAUGGGUGAUUCUUGUUGAGGGCAUGUUGAUUGGCUUGGCCCCAUGACUCACAUGGUUUGGUAUGGUGGAGGAUGUUGCUUCUUUAGGUUUAUUGGUGACUUCUAACGUCACACAAUGAAACUUCCUUUUUCUAUUUUUAUGUCACCUGUCAAGAUACUAUU